UCGUGGACCCUGAUUGGUCCGGAACAAUGAAUGAAAUAAGCAAGGGGUCGUGGCUGUGAUGUGGAAUGGGUGAAGCGCUGUGAUUAGCUGAGACUGGAAAUGAAUGAAGAAGGAUCACGGACAGGCACGGCCAUGACACGAGAGACAAUGCUGGAGGAAGUGAGUGUUUUAUAACCCUGUAAUCAGGAGCUGGCUGUCAGGAGAAAAACACACUGUGAAUCAUCGUUCUGUCCGGUUCCUCCAACAGCACACAGAACCUUCGAGUGUGGAGGCGAGGUUCUAGUCAAGGACGAAGCCACACGUGUUUCUGCAGCUUGAUCCUCAUCUGAUGAUCUCCUUCAUUCAAGAUGGCACCAAAGGGGCUGAACUACACAAGACUGUGCUGAUGAU